AAUGAACGCUGGCGGCGUGGAUUAGGCAUGCAAGUCGAACGCGAAAGUUCCCUUCGGGGAGCGAGUAGAGUGGCGAAAGGGUGAGUAAUGCUUGGAUGACCUGCCCUCGAGACGGGGACAACAGUUCGAAAGGACUGCUAAUACCCGAUAGUCCGGUUUAGAUGCGUCUAGAUCGGUAAAUGGUGCUUCCGCUCGAGGAGGGGUUCAAGUCCUAUCAGCUUGUUGGUGAGGUAACGGCUCACCAAGGCGAUGACGGGUAGCCGGACUGAGAGGUUGGCCGGCCACAUGGGAACUGAGACACUGUCCUGAGUUGUAAAACUCUUUCGUUG
rnacentral:rRNA from 1 species